GGAGCUUGUAUAUCUGUUUUUCUCUAACUUGUAGGCUAAGCCUUAAUAGACAAGUGCAAAAAAUAAAUCCUCUUUGCAACCUAGAACUCAUUGUUCGGUAUGAGUUUUUAUAAUACAAGAAGGAAUAUU
ensembl:snoRNA